GUUUUAAGGUUGGGGAGUGAAGUCUGUAUUGGUAAUUUACGUUUUGAACUCAUCAGAUUAUAUACGGUAAUUUCAGCCACGGGAUUGUAUGAGAUGGACCAGGAAGACAGUAUAAAGUGACCAUCAAAAAAGGACCGAGGACCGAAUAUCAACAGCUAAGAAUAAGCAGAGAAAGAGAAGAUUCGGGAUGUCCAAGAGCUUCUUGGAAAAGGGUUUUGGUUUUAGUGUUGUCUCUGGACAGGAAAGUGGAGAAUGGGAGAUUGAAGCUCAUCCGCAGGACCACAAACAAUGAUGGGCGCUGUGGGAAUCAAAUGGCAGCAGUGGCCCUGGAGAGUGGGAGGAGCUUGGGUGCAUGGAAGUCAGAGACCCGGAUUCCAGCCCCAGCUCUGCUACAACUACAGGACCUCGGGGACUAUGAUCAAGCACUUUGGUGUCUCCCCCCAGCCCCCAAAAGGGCUUGGUCGAAGGCCUUGGCUCCUCCAGGAUUCUUAGAGAAAUGCAAGUUGAGACGACCUUUUACUGUCAAGAUGACAUCUGCAGUGCAUCCUGCUGCACUUCACAAUGGCAAACAAAAUUUCUUCUCCCAGGGAAACUUCUAAUGUCCAAAGUCAGAGAACGACUGGGCUAGUAACACCCCAAAAUGGUAUCAUGGCAAAAAACAAAAAUAAAAAAGACUCUAGAAAAACAAAUCAUACUUCCUGAAGUUUGACUCUCUAUAAAUCCACAC